AUGGCGCGGGUGUCCAACCCUUGCCAUCCGGAUCUCCGGAUCUACGAGCCGAAUUUCGCUUCCGAGCAACCCCGGCUCAAGGAAGAGUCUAAGUCCAGAUCUUAUCUGCUGCAGAAAAUCCGCUCCUACUACGGCAAGGCGCAGAAGCUGCUCGGGCGCAGCCACCGCCUGCAGGGCCUCUGCGUCGGCCUCCUCGACCCGGCAUCCAACAUCGUGAUCAACAGUCUCAUCGAGCGCAAGCACGAGCGCGAGCGCGACCGCGACCAUAGAUCUACCACCUGCGAGGUUGUGGUAGAGGAUGACCUGAAGCGCCGGUCGCUUGACGGCAUGGUUGUCUUCCUCACCCGCUUAUUCCCCAACCUGUCGGAGGGCCUGGCCGUGCGCUACCUGCGACUCGCCAAGGCGGACGUCCUCAUUGCCGCCUGCAUCGUCGUGUCGGAUCAGUGCAUCGAGGGUUUCGAUGCCUCCGGCCCAGACGUCAUCAACAUGGCCCUCAGGUGCGCCGGGCUGGCCGCCAGGCACCCCGACGCCUACCGCUUCGUCUUCUCCUGGUGCAACAUCUCCAGCCGCAUAGACGACGCCCUGCGCCUCCUCGCCGCGUUGCACGAACCGCAAAGGUUGCGCCGCUCUGACGCCAUUAUUAAGCUCGUCCAUAUGCUUAACUAUGAACCGCCGUCCCGUGAAAGAGAUGUGUGGCUUGUGUGGCGGCUCGCAGAAGCUUCUUUUCGCCGUCGUCCCCGCAGCGCGCCGCAACUGCACACCAACUUGCUCAACCGGACGCUCCAGGACACCAUCCACGGGUACUACCUCCAGGCCCUUGCCCUGCUGCCACCAGGCUCUCGCUUCCACCGCAGCCUGAUUAAGGCCGGCUACUGCUACGGCCCGUUCGACCCCGUCUCCAACAUCAUCAUCAACACCAUCUGGUAUGAUGCCAAUUUCCCACCCUCCAUGAAACUCGAGCUGGAUGUCAUGGGCACGCGGAGCCUCCACAGGGUGGAGAACCGCUCCUUGUACGGCAUGGUCUCCUUCCUCUGCACACGUUACCAUGAACUUGAUUUCCAUCAAGCCGUGCGCUGCCUGCUCCAGGCAGAUGCCAACCUUGUGCUCGCUGAUCCCAACCUUGUGACUGAUACUAACCUUGUCUACGACUUUGGUAUCGUGAGAGAUGUGCUGAGGCAUGGACCAGCCUCUGCCUUUCGUUGCAAGCUCCAAACUCAAGCCCCCCCCAACACUGGUCUCACUGUAGGACACCCGGACACUGGUAUUGAGGAAGCCUUCUUGGCCGCCGCCACCGCGGCCUGUCACCCCAACCCAGACGCUCAAGCACAGCUUCUCACUUCUUGUUGCAAGGUGGACCCGAGUCCUGUCUUGUCUCUGCUGCCUAUUGACUCUCACAAGCUCUCCUUUCAAGAUUUAAGCCUGCUUGCCAGGUUUCUAUCUUGCAAUCCCCUCUAUGAGUAUGACAAGGCACUUCCACUUCCCCCAGUCCCCCUCAAAUGUUACCCACGUGCAGAGCUAGCGAGCCUGUAUACAGUCAUCUCCAAGGAGGUCAAUGCUCUGCUGAAUAAAUAUCAACAGAUGCCAAACGGGGAUCCCAAGUUCAAGCUUCAUAUGAUUUGUGUUGUGAAUGAUCGGGUCCGCGGCCCUGCUCCAUGGCCUCCUCAUCGCCAUGGCCACUCUCACGUCAACUUCGUGGCUACUUCCAAAAGCCCUGGUGGUGAAGCUCCUACUUUAUUUUUUGCUGAAAUUAAUGCUGACAACCGAAGCAUGUCCUUCUGUUGCCCUGUGGAUCUGCCGCCGCCAUGUGCUGCGCAAAUUCCUUGUAUUUACUGUGAAUCCAUGGGGACUCGAAUUGUGCAUCCGGUCGGGAUACACUUCACUGGGCGUGACUCGGAGUUUGAGAACAUGGCCUGUGAAAAAGACCCCCUUGGGUGUGUGUAUGCAACCAUGAGAAUCAUCAACCAUAGGCGUGGCAUGGCGGAGAGCGUCCAUGUUAACGUGAAAGAAGAUAGCCUCUAUGAUGGCAUGGAUGGGCACAAGAGUAAGUAUGACAUCGAGACGGGUUCCUUGAGCAUGAAAGAAUACGUGUUAUUGAUACCAGCUUUGAUAUGA
rnacentral:rRNA from 1 species